rnacentral:lncRNA from 1 species
GCGGUGUCUUCGUUCGUCACCGCUGUUCCCUAGUUUCACCCCGCCCCUUUCCGUUUUCACGAAAAACCAACAAACCAAUCAAGUUCCAUUCCUCCCCCUUUAUUUUCGUCGCAGCUUCCGGCCCCGCCGGGCUUCCACCAAUCCAAGCGUCCGGGGCUUCCCAUCCGGAUGCUUUAAAAAAAAACUCGCUUGUUUCCAAUCAGAGGCAAAGGAACGAAGGAGGGAUCGGUGGAAGCUUUGACUUCACUCCCUUUUAAAGUCCGGGCUUCCAACAAGGCUUGGCUGCUCUACUAUUUAAGCCAAUGAGAAGUCGCUUCCCCUUUCGCUCUUUCUUAAAAAAAAAAGCCUGCCAAUUCGCCCAAUCGUCUUCCCAGAGAAGCUCUUCCGCAGUCCAAUGAAAGGCGGGAGGCACGCGAAGCACCCAAUGAGGGAGGGGCAAGCCCCCCUCCAGCGUCAAGCGUGCGGAGGGGGGCGCGCGAGGGGAGGAGCCAAUGAGGUGCCGCGCAGCGCCCCUACUGCUCAACAGCUUGUUAUUUGGGUGGUGAGAGUGGCGCUGGGCUGAAAGAGUGACACUCGGUCCGUCUGUGAGUGGGAGCCGCCGAUCCCGGGCUGCUGAGGGGGCGGAGGAAGAAGAGAAGGCGGAGCAAGGCGGGACAGCCCCUAUUGCUGCUGCCGCUGCUGCUGCUGCUGCUGUCGUCGUCGUCGCCCUCCUCCUCCUCUUUGGCCGCUGCUGUCGCGGCUUGUUCCUGGUGGGGGUCGGACGGUGUCUUCGGCCGGGCUGCCCGCGCUCUACGCCGGGCGAGGAGAGCUGCCGCCGUGGACUGCACUCAGCAAUGCAAGCUAUGCUGACAUGAACAUUCUAGACUUUUAGGGAUUGCUGUUUAUAACACCAAAAGUCAGUGUUUUAAUGACUGACUGCAGUUUUCAUAGAGUUUCUUCAACUGUGGUACACAAAACGCUUUGAGCUGGAAUCCCUCAAAUAACCAUCAAAUAUGAAGGCAGCAGAUGAGCCUGCCUACCUAACAGUGGGGACUGAUGUCAGUGCCAAAUAUCGGGGUGCUUUCUGUGAGGCAAAAAUUAAGACAGUGAAAAGGCUAGUGAAAGUUAAGGUGAUCUUAAAGCAAGAUAAUUCAACACAAUUGGUGCAAGAUGAUCAGGUGAAAGGACCUUUGAGGGCUGGUGCAGUUGUUGAAACCAAGAUGCCUGAUGGAACCUUUCAAGAAGCUAUCAUCAGUAAAUUGACAGAUGCCAGCUGGUAUACUGUGGUUUUUGAUGAUGGUGAUGAGAGGACAUUGAGACGGACCUCACUGUGUUUGAAGGGGGAGAGGCACUUUGCUGAAAGCGAGACACUUGACCAACUGCCACUAACAAAUCCAGAGCACUUUGGAACACCUGUAAUUGGAAAGAAGUCCAACAGAGGAAGAAGGUCGUCUCUUCCUGUCAAUGAAGAUGAAAAAGAAGAAGAAACUAGUGAAGAGGAAGAGGAAGAUAAGAGACGUCUUAAUGAUGAAUUGCUUGGUAAAAUUGUCAGUGUGGUAUCCAGUACUGAAAAGGCAGAACGGUAUCCAGCUUUGGUCUUAUCCCCCAGCUGCAGUGAUGACAUUUUAGUGAAAAAGGACCAGUGUUUAGUUCGUUCUUUUGCAGAUUCCAAAUUUUAUUCAGUAGCAAGAAAGGACGUUGAAGAAUUAGAUUUUAGAAACUCAGAACUGCCUUCUAAUAAAGGGGUACAAGAGGCAAGCUCUUUCUUCCAUUGGAAAGCCAUUCCUUCUAUUUGGAAGAUGGACAUGCGUGAAAUCUUGGAAUCCUCCAGCAGUGAUGAAGAAGAUGGAGGAGAGACAGGAAGUAAUGAUGAUGAAGAAGAAAAAGGAGAACAAAAAGAGGAAGAAGUAGUGCCUGAGGAAGAGCUUGAUCCUGAAGAGAGGGACAAUUUCCUCCAGCAGCUUUACAAGUUUAUGGAAGACAGAGGAACUUCUAUCAAUAAACCACCUGUUUUGGGCUAUAAGGAUCUUAACCUCUUCAAACUUUUCAGACUGGUAUAUCAGCAGGGUGGGUGUGACAAUAUUGAUAGUGGAGCUGUUUGGAAACAAAUUUAUAUGGACCUUGGCAUUCCUAUUUUGAAUUCAGCUGCUUCCUACAAUGUGAAAACUGCGUAUAGAAAGUAUCUUUAUGGUUUUGAAGAAUACUGUCGUUCUGCAAACAUUCAGUUCCGAACCAUCCACCACAAUGAACCAAAAAUAAUUGUAGUACAGAAAAAAGAAGAGCAAAUGGAGGAAAAGGUAAAAGAAGAGCCUGAAAUGUCUCCUGUAGAGAUUCAGAAUGAGAUGGAAGAAAACAACUGUAGCAGUGAAAGUGAAAAAGAAGAACUGGAACAGAGGUCUCAACGGGGACGAAGAAGACAUAUCCGUGAUGCGUCUCUUGUUAAAAAAGAAGGUGAAGAUGAUAAAAUACAAGAUAAGCUAAAAGACAGCAACAAGGAGAAUAAAGACAUAGAAGAGAUUUCCAGUAAUGUAGAGAAGAUUGAAAAUGAUAUGGCACUUGCAAACAGAAAGACUACACCAAAGCAAAAGGAAAAGAGGGCAAAACAGGAAGAGGAAUCUGACAGGGAGUCAGAUGAAGAGGAAGAGAGAAGCAGGGAAGAACUUGAAAAUCGAGAAUCGGAAGGGGAAGAAUGUGAAGAAGAUGCAGAGCCUUGUCUUACAGGAACCAAAGUAAAAGUAAAAUAUGGCCGUGGUAAAACACAGAAAAUCUAUGAAGCUAGUAUUAAAAGUACAGAAAACGAUGACGGAGAGAUUUUGUAUUUGGUGCAUUAUUAUGGCUGGAAUAUUGUUUAUGCUUGUAUUCAGAGUAAAGAAGACUCUGAAAAAGAUGAAAAGAAAGAGGAAGAAAAACAAAAGGGAAAGCGUGGACGUCCUCCUCUGAAAUCAACUCUUCUAUCAAAUCUCUCUUGUGGUCUGUCUAAAACUCCUAAUAGUGACAACUCAGUUUCAUCAGAUAGUGAAGCAGAUGAAGCUUCUGAAAAGAACAUUAAUGAAGAAUUUUCUCCAGCAAGUUUUGAAAUGGAAAAUGAAAAACGAACAGUUGAUAAGCCUGUUGAAGAGAUUGCAAAGAUCUCACAAAUGCUAAAAGAGAAUGAUCAGAAUCAAGUUCAUCCUUUAGAAAAAUUGAAAUUAGAAAGUGAAGAGAGUGAACAAGUGGUUCAGAAUUGUGGAAGUAAAAAUGAUCAAAUAGAAGAAGUGAAAAGAGAGGUGGAGAAAUCACCUAAAGGAAAAGGCCGGAAGAACCGAACAAGAGAUUCUUUCCUAGAGAAUUCAAAGAUUACGUUACUAAAUCAGGAAGAAACAACCAAUGAACCUGUUGCAGAAUCUGAACGAUUAAAUAUUUCUUCCUUGGAAAAUAAAGGUUUGAGCUCUAAUUCUGAGAAUGAAACAGAUCUCUGGGCAAAAGAUAAGAAGCUUAUGAAAAGAAAAGUGAUAGAACAGCCAUCACCUGACAAAAGGAUACGACAAGAGGGUGAGCUCACUGUGCCACAUAUUGUGACUGAAGAGAAGGCAAAUGAAUGUUAUGGGGCAGAAGAAUGUAAGGAUUUCACUGCUGAUGAGUCUCUUCGAAAUGAGAAUGAAGAAAUGCCAUCAUUGGUGGCAGAAUCAGAUCAACGGCUCCAUGUUAGGGGAAGUGAACCCUUUGAUUGUUCUUCAGAGGAAAACCGUAGCACACUGUUGAAAGAUGAAGAUGACUCCAUGCCUCAAAUUGGUCCUGAAACUCUUCUUUGCCAUGAAGUAGACUUGGAUGAUCUUGAUGAAAAGGACAAGAAUGGGCCUGAAAGUUUGGUUGCAGAAAAGCAUGAUGGUAGUAACCUCACUUCAAAUCCCCCUAUGUUACCUUCUGUGAUCCAGCCAAAUUUCUCUGUUGCCUCACCUCUAAUGUUCAGUCAGGAUGAAUCACCAAGCAUAAAAAGUGAAAGUGACAUGACUAUUGAAGUGGACAGUAUAGCUGAAGAGUCUCAAGAAGGCCUUUGCGAGAAUGAAUCUGCCAAUGGGUUUGAAGCUUCCAGCAACUGUAGCAUAGCUGGUCCAGAAAUUGGAGAAAAGGGACAAAAAAGGCCUGGGGAUAACAGUGGUAGUUCACUGGCAAAGCGGCAAAAGCGUACCCCCAAACGAGCAAGUACGAUAGCCAAAAGUGAGAAAAAUGGGACAGGGCAAAGCAGUGAUAGUGAAGAUCUUCCUGCCCUUGACAGCUCAAGUAAAUGUACUCCUGUAAAGCAUAUUGGUGUAACGAAGCCACAGAAACUCAAUCGAUCGCCUGCCAGAGGGGUAUCUCCUAAUAUCAAAGAUGGGGAUAAGGAGAAACAGAGAGAGAAGAACCAUCAUGUUUCUCCAAGAGUGUACAAAUGGACUGUCCAGCUUAAUGAAUUGGACAAUAUGAGCAGCACAGAGAGAAUCUCAUUUCUACAAGAAAAACUACAGGAAAUCAGGAAAUGUUACAUGUCUCUGAAAUCAGAAGUAGCAACGAUUGAUAGGAGAAGAAAACGAUUGAAAAAGAAGGACCGAGAAGUGUCCCAUACUGGAGCUUCCAUGUCCUCUGGCUCUUCAGACACUGGAAUGAGCCCAUCCUCACCCUCCCCUCCACAGAGUGUGCUUGCUGUUGAAUGCAGGUGAUACUGGUGAUUAUCUCUGCUUCAUGCAGCAAAUUGCUGCCAUGGACAGAAAUCCGAAAAUCUCACAGAAAGCACCCAGUUGGUUUGACAUUGCCAAGUAUAGUGUGUAUACUCUUCCACUGCUGGACUUGUCUGUCUCUACUCCUUUGUGCCCCUUCCUCUAUUUUGUCCAUAUAGUUUUUUUUAAACAACAUAUUUUAUUGUGGAGAAUAAUCUAAUUCGCAACUAAAGGUUAAUGGGUGCACUUAAGACACCUCUGUCUUAUGCUUUGUUUUUUUUACUUUGCUUUAAACAGAAAAAGGGCACUUAAUCUGAUUUGAAAACACAGGUAUCCAAUGAAGCAUUGGGCAUUGUAAAAAAAAAACAACUUUAAGUAAAAGCAAGUGCACCAAAAAUAGCAUCAAAAUAAGUUAAUCAGAAAAUAAUUACUGCUGCACUUUUUUCACCGAGCUAUAUCUUAAUUCUGAGCGAGAGUCCCACUUUUAUUUUUAUGUUUUGGAGAUGCAGUUGCUUUGUACAGACUUGCCAAAGUAGGUACUCAGCAUUGUGCCCAGUUUUAAAUUGGACAAAAUAAAUUGUGAAAGGAAGCGUAGUUGACUGGAAAC